rnacentral:lncRNA from 1 species
GGGAGGAGGGAGGAGGGGGGAGGAGGAGGAGAGAGCAGAGUAUACCGCAGACAUCAUUUCUACUACAGUGGCGGAGCCGUACAGGACCUGUUUCACUGCAGGGGGAUCCAAAACAAGCCCCGUGGAGCAGCAGCCAGAGCUACAGCAGCCGCAAGACACUGUUUCUCUCCCUCUGCCCCCCCUUCCCCACGCAACCCCAGAUCCAUUUACACUUUACAGAGGAGCCGGCUGCAAAUCACCGAGGUGUUCCAUUCAAGCUGCAGAUUUGUCUGUCGUCUUUGGACAGCAGUCUCUUCCUCCACGGCUGCUUUGGGGGAGUCCAACACCCAUCGGGUAAGAGUUUUGCGAUGCUGUCUGGUUUCUAUCUGAGGAUAAAGUCUGGCCUGGGAAAAUCACUUACUAGUCAUACUUUAGCACUUUACAGACUGUUGAAGAUAAUUGUCUUUGCAAACUGUACUGUGUAGGAAAUGGAGAAAUCGCAGAGAGGUGUUUUUUUUUUUUUAAACUUGGAUUCAGGUAUCCUCCUUUUUGGUUUAUUUGGUUGAUAACAGUCUGCCUCUGCCUUGCCGAUGGUUCAUUAUUGUGUGCUGGGGUUGAGCCUGAUCGUUUUAAUUGUCACCUGUACUUGGAGCCGAUGAGCAGGUUUUGCUACCAAACGGUUACCUUAAGUCACUGUCUCCAUGUUUUAGGUCGUGGUCGUUGUGUGACUGUGGUGCAGGGAGAUAGCUUGUUGGUUCCGUAGCAACCCAUGUUGGCUGGAUCUUGAAUUUCUUUGUGUCAGUUUUGGAUUUGACAACUUCCUGCUUUCUUCAUGUACAGUAAA